UCCGGUUUGUCACCGGCGGUCUCCUUAGAGUUCCCAACUAAAUGAUGGCAACUAAGGACAAGGGUUGCGCUCGUUGCGGGACUUAACCCAACAUCUCACGACACGAGCUGACGACAGCCAUGCACCACCUGUGCACCGGCCCCGAAGGGCUGCCGUAUUUCUACGACAUUCCGGUGCAUGUCAAGCCCUGGUAAGGUUCUUCGCGUUGCGUCGAAUUAAACCACAUGCUCCGCCGCUUGUGCGGGCCCCCGUCAAUUCCUUUGAGUUUCGGCCUUGUGACUGUACUCCCCAGGCGGCAUAUUUAACGCGUUAGCUCCGGCACGGACAGAAUGAACUGCCCACACCAAAUAUGCAUCGUUUAGGGCGUGGACUAC
rnacentral:misc_RNA from 1 species